rnacentral:rRNA from 1 species
GACGUAGGAUGCGAGCGUUAUUCGGAUUUAUUGGGCGUAAAGCGUGCGUAGGCGGCUGUUUAAGUCUGGUGUUAAAGCUAGGGGCUCAACCCCCUGUGGUGCACUGGGAAACUGGGCAGCUUGAGUGCGGUAGGGGAAGGUGGAAUUCCGAGUGUAGCGGUGAAAUGCGUAGAUAUUCGGAAGAACUCGGUGGCGAAGGCGACCUUCUGGGCCGCAACUGACGCUGAGGCACGAAAGCCUGGGGAGC